CCAGCCCCUGGAGAGGAAGGAAGCUGUUGCGGAGACACCAACCCACAUGUGUGCAACCCAGAAAGAGACAGCCUGAAGCUGGAGAGACAGAGACCCAUCCAUGUCCAAGCAAACUUGGACGAUAGCAAACAGCAGUCAAGGCCUUCUCAGCUCUGGAUGAGCCAAGCCAUCUGUCUUCUAAGAGCUGCUGCCUCAGAAUGGGGCAGUCCCUCAGAUUCUCCCAUCUCGACUCUGUCAUGAAAUACCCAAGAGUUCCCCUGGGUCAAAGUCGAUUCCAGGCAAAGGUUCUCAGCUGCUCUGCAUGGUGAGAAGUCCAGCUUACAAACUACAGCACUGGCCCCGGCAGGGUCAAAGCAGUCAAGGCCUGGCCACUUGCCGUCUGGACUUUGAAUCAGAAGCAUCAUGGAAGCCAUUUCAGGCAUGAAAGCACAGCCCCAGCCUCCCUGGUGCUCACACCCAGCCAUGUGAGGGUUCCAAGGUCUGCUGAUUACCUGCCUGAUCACUGCACUUGCAUUCUUAACUGGGGUUUGGCCACGGCUUUACCUAGUGGACUCAAAACACAUGCUCUUUGGCCUGAAGUCUCUGCAUGCAGUGAGGAGCACACACAUACAGCCUGUAACUGCCAUGGGUGUAUCAGAGGUCUGAGGAUAUGAGAAAGAGAUACUUAAACUUCAGCAGAGGAAAAACUUGCUCCCUGGAAAAGUAGCCCACUCUCUCUGAAGUGAGUUAGUGUUAUAAUGUACUAUUCUUUGGCAUCCAUGCAGUUUUCAGCAUUCCAUGAUAUCACAGAAGAUAAAAGAGCUCACUCAGAGCUGGAUAAAAUGCUGUUGAACCAUCUUGGAUAAAUGAAAAGAUUUUUAGGAUGUUGAGAAUUAAAGGGCAAAUUUGCAAAUAAAGAAUUAUUUUAAAAUUUAUUAUUGUAAAAAAUAUUUUGUGGUCAAAAUGAAUGUGAAGUGUUUAUGAUAUACAGAACUUUAAUGAAUUCAUCAAAAGCAGACAAGAUAAAAAGAGUACCUUUUCUGAGUUGCCACUCAAGUCUAGUGAUUAUAAUGAAAAAGGAUAAGAAUUCUGUGUUUAGACUCUUGAUGAAAAAUUAAAAAGUCAACAGCCCAUCAAAAAGCAAUUGGUUGAGGUCUUUACUUCUGUGCUUGCUAGUGAGACAAAAGAAUAAAGCCAAGGCUCUCACUUUCUGUGGAGAAUAAACAGAAAUUGUGUAUUUGUCCUUAUUCAAAGGCUCAUUGAACUGAGGUACAGAAGAGGCCUUGUCCCUUGUCCCACGGCUGCCGCAAGUCAUGGAGAUGCAGACUCCAGCUCUGUGCUUGCGCUCCUACCAGUCCCUCUGCCUUUAGGGUGUUUGCUGCCCUCUCCACCAAGUAAACUUCUAUUCAUCCUUUGGGACCCAGCAAAAAUAUUUCUUCUGCCCUGACUGGUGUGGCUCAGUGGAUUGAAUGCAUGCAGCCUGUGAACUGGAGAGUCGCCGGUUCGAUUCCUGGUUGGGGCACAUGCCUGGGUUGCAGGCCGGGUCCCCAGUUGUGGGCACUCGAGAGGAAACAACACAUCGAUGUUUCUCCUCUCUUUUUCCCUCCCUUCCCAUCUCUCUAAAAAUAAAUAAAUAAACAAAAUCUUAAAAAACGUAUUUCUUCUAUGAAGCCUCCCCUGAUACACCAGGUGGUGGAUAAUUUUUGUUUGCAUUUCUG